rnacentral:rRNA from 1 species
AUUGAACGCUGGCGGCGGGCCUAACACAUGCAAGUCGAACGGAGCGGCGGACGGGAGAGUGAUGCCUAGGAAUCUGCCUGGUAGUGGGGGAUAACGUCCGGCAACGGGCGCUAAUACCGCAUACUAUCAGAUGAGCCUUGGUCGGAUUAGCUAGUUGGUGGGGUAAAGGCCUAACAAGGCGACGGUCCGUACCUGGUCUGAGAGGAUGAUCAGCCAAACGGGAACUGAGACACGGCCCAGACUCCUACGGUAGGCAGCAGGGGGGAAUAUUGGACAAUGGGCGAAAGCCUGAGCCAGCCAUGCCGCGUGUGUGAAGAAGGUCUUCGGAUUGUAAAGCACUUUAAGUUGGGAGGCGUUACCAACAGAAUAAGCACCGGCUAACUACGUGCCAGCAGCCGCGGUAAUAC